CUGGGCUUGGCUGGUCACCAUUAUGGGGCCGGGCAGGAAUUUGGGGGGCAUACACCUGAUUGGCAGUUGGUGUGUUCCUUUUUUCGCCUGCCUCAGGCUAUAUCAGGGGUCAUAGUUAGUUAGAAGUGUAGUUGCAUGUAAUUCACGGGUCACUUUGUCAUGUGCUGGCAGGUACAGUGCGGUGGAAAACUGGGGAAUAAUCGGUGCAGCACCUGAGGUGCAGUGCAGUGGGAAGCAACAGCGCAGCCUUGGUGAGCACCUUAGGUUGUCGAGAGGCUUGACUGCAGGCUGAAGCAGAUUAUUAUAUUAAAAUGUUAAAAUUCACCUCAUUACCCGGCAUACUUACUUCAAUUAUUCAUCCCAUUAACCUGAGGCUAAAGAUGCUGUAUGCGAUACCCGCUCCUCAAGAGGUUAAUCUCCAUGGAUCUCUUUCAAGGUUAAAGACUUGUAACAGGCUCUCUUCUAACAAUACAGCUUGCAGCUUUUUCGUGUAGUCUUCUAGUAUAUAACUGAACCUGUGAAC